rnacentral:rRNA from 1 species
GAUUAUGGCUCAGGAUGAACGCUAGCGGCAGGCUUAACACAUGCAAGUCGAGGGGCAUCGGGAGUAGCAAUACUUGCCGGCGACCGGCGCAAGGGUGCGUAACGCGUGAGCAACAUGCCCGUAUCAGGGGGAUAAUCCAUGGAAACGUGGUCUAAUACCCCAUAGUAAUUAUGUAAGGCAUCUUAUAUAAUUUAAAGCUUUGGUGGAUACGGAUUGGCUCGCGUGACAUUAGCUAGAUGGUAAGGUAACGGCUUACCAUGGCUACGAUGUCUAGGGGUUCUGAGAGGAAGGUCCCCCACACUGGAACUGAGACACGGUCCAGACUCCUACGGGAGGCAGCAGUGAGGAAUAUUGGACAAUGGAUGGAAAUCUGAUCCAGCCAUGCCGCGUGCCAGGAAGACGGCCCUAUGGGUUGUAAACUGCUUUUGUAUGGGAGCAAUAAGGGCUACGCGUAGUCCGAUGAGAGUACCAUACGAAUAAGCACCGGCUAACUCCGUGCCAGCCGCCGC